rnacentral:misc_RNA from 1 species
CGUAGGGUUCAUGUGCUGCAGCCUCGCCUACCAAACACCACUGCACCGAAAGUCAUCUUUUUCCUUCAGCAUCACAUAUCCCUCUCUCGCUUGCGAGCUUAUUUGUAACGCAGCCCCUUCUGUGAUGUGUGAGCGUAUCUUCAUCUGGCCUUUAGAAUACCAAGAGAAAGUGAAACCGAGGCUGUGCGGUAGGCAUGUCUGCCGCUGACUUCGAGGCCGCCGUGGCGUACGUGCGCUCCCUGCCCAAGGACGGUCCAGUGCAGCUGGACAACGCCGCCAAGCUUCAGUUUUACUCCCUGUACAAGCAGGCGACGGAGGGUGACGUGACAGGCAACCAGCCGUGGGCCGUGCAGGUCGAGGCGCGUGCCAAGUGGGAUGCGUGGAACUCUCGCAAGGGCAUGCGGUCGGAGGACGCCAAGGCGGCGUACGUGCAGCGUCUCGUGACGCUGCUCAGGUCGCAGGGAAUCGAGUGGAAGCCUGGCGCGAAGGUGCAGAGCAAGCUCUGAGCGCCUAUAUGGCUGAACGGCGAAGACGACGAAGAACCCCUCCCCCAACGAGAGAGAUGGCGCCAGAGUCGGCUCGUGCUGUUUCCUUUUUACGUCUUGGUAUUUAUCGACCGUUUCCGUUUUUUUGUGCACCCUUCUCUCCCGCUCCGCAGUCCUGAAUCUCUGGCAAGUGAAGAGCGACCCCGUUAUAUCUUUUUUUGCUUCUUGCCAUCACACCUCGGAUGGAUGGUGAUAUCGUUGCUUGCGCGUCCCCUCUCUAUGUGUGCGGCAGCGCUUGUUGGAGUCACAAGGAGGUGGGUGCGCUCAUGUGGCUGUGCCCGCGUGUCUGAGCUUGGGAUGACCGUCUCGUGCGCGCUUGCACUUGUGCGUGUGCUCGUCUCAGAGCGCGUGGCGAUUGUGCAUAUCACAGCAAACUUCUAC